rnacentral:rRNA from 1 species
GGGGUAGAGUAAUGCGUGACCAACCUGCCCCAUGCUCCAGAAUAGCUCUUGGAAACGGGUGGUAAUGCUGGAUGCUCCAACUUGACGCAUGUCUUGUUGGGAAAGUGUUUAGUGGCAUGGGAUGGGGUCGCGUCCUAUCAGCUUGUAGGCGGGGGUAAUGGCCCACCUAGGCUUCGACGGGUAGCCGGCCUGAGAGGGCGGACGGCCACAUUGGGACUGAGAUACGGCCCAGACUCCUACGGGAGGCAGCAGUC